rnacentral:rRNA from 1 species
UACGAAGGGGGCUAGCGUUGCUCGGAAUUACUGGGCGUAAAGCGCACGUAGGCGGCUCGUUAAGUCAGGGGUGAAAUCCCGAGGCUCAACCUCGGAACUGCCUUUGAUACUGGCGAUCUUUGAGUCCGGGAGAGGUGAGUGGAACUCCGAGUGUAGAGGUGAAAUUCGUAGAUCUUCGGAAGAACACCAGUGGCGAAGGCGGCUCACUGGCCCGGUACUGACGCUCAGGUGCGAAAGCGUGGGGAGCAAACAGG